CGAUGGCAAAUAUUCAAUAUGAAGCAUACAUUCCGAAGACAAACAUUCAACAUGAUGGAGCAUCGUGAAUUUUCACAGGCUUGACUUGCUCUCUCUAGUAAGAUUUCCCCCCUUUUAUCUAGUUAGAUGCACUCUUACCGCCUGGUGAAGAACUUGGUCACAAUUUUUAUAGCUAGGAAUAACAAGAUGCGACAUUUUAAAAUUCUAUAAUAAGAUUAAUGUUCUAGGUUGUUAGAAUAUGAGUAGGAAUAGGAAUAGCAUAUAAAAUCUUGUAGUGUCCUAUUAGGAAAAGGAUUGGAAUGUAUUGUUUAUAAAUAGGGCCUCAAUGUAAUAAUGUAGUUACAACAAUUCAAUAAUAUUUUUAUCGUAUAUUUCUCACAUGGUAUCAGAGCUUCCACGAUCUUGGUAAAGAAUCAAAGAGUUUCCACUGCCGGCGGGCGGCUAUAAUCCAUAUAUGUCGCCCGUUAGCACCAUGCAUCUGUCCGAUGAUUACUUUUUCAUAUCUAUUUUUUCUUAGCACCGUGCUUCUUUUCGGUGACUAUUUUCUCAUAUCUGAUUUGUGUAGCACCGUGCAUCUUUCCAGACUACUUUGUCAUAUCUGAGUUGCAUAGCACCAUGCAUCUUUCUGGUGACUCCUCAGAUCUAAUUUAUGUAGUUCUGUACGUCUUUCCGGUGACUCCUCAGAUCUAAUUUCUGUGGGUUCGUGCCAUCAUUCCGACCCUACCCAUAUAAUUUGUCUUUUUCAGUAGGGUCGUGCCAUCAUUCUGACCCUGCCCAGAUAAUUUCUUUUUCAGUAGGAUCGUGCCGUCAUUUCGACCAUGCCCAUAUAAUUUCUGUUUCUCAAUAGGGUCGUGCCAUCAUUCCGACCCUACCCAUAUUUCUCUUUCUCAGUAGGGUCGUGUCAUCAUUCCGACCUUACCCAUAUACUUUUUUUUCCUCAAAUUGUAGUCACUUUUCAUCAAUCAAAUCUAAUAAUCCGGCAUGUGAGCAUGUUUCGACUAAGUUUCCGGUGACUUUCAUGUUCAAGAUCUACUCAUCUCUUGAUUUCGAGAUGACCCGUAUAUUUUGUACCAGUUUUCGACAAUUUUUCAGAGACACAUCGACUUUACGGCAAUAUUUACUACUUUUCGGAUCAUUUUUUUUAGUUUGUUUCGUUUCAAUUGAGGUCUCCCAGACGUCCAAAGCAGUCCUUCUCAGUUUUCUUGCAGAUAUCUUCACCAAGUCCCUCAUCGAUUCUCAUAUUAGUUACAUCCAUAACAAGCUUGGUACAUAUGUCUUCUAUGCACCAACUUGAGGUGGAGCGUUAGAAUAUGAGUAGGAAUAGGAAUAGCAUAUAAAAUCCUACUUGAAAAAGAAUUGUAAUGUAGUGUCCUAUUAGGAAAAGGAUUAGAAUGUAUUGUCUAUAAAUACGGCCUCAAUGUAAUAAUGUAGUUACAACAAUUCAAUAAUAUUUUUCUCUUAUAUUUCUCACAUGAUAUCAAAGUCAGGUUAAAAUCAGGUGUUCAUCUUGGCAGAUUCAGUUCUAGUCGCAACCUAUUUGACAAUAAUGAAGAUUUUAGUUUGAGAAAUUUUAUCAGAGUGUUACUCUGUGCAGAGGCAAGAAUUAAUGGAGAAAAUUUUGGAGAUGGAGAUUGAACUUAUUGAAGACUACAUGAAGAAGGUGGAGUAAGUUUAUUUUAUCAGAAAUUCAGGCCAAGGGAAAGAAUUGUUGGUGUUUGUCCCGACUUUCUUACCAUAAUUGGGUUUUCCUUUAGGUACCAUAAUUGGGUUUUCCUUUUGAGAAAAGGAAAACAUAUUCUCCAUAUUUGGCUAAUCCUUAUUCUUGUAGGAAAAGGCUAUAAACUCUAUAAAUAGAGACUCCUUUCUUCUAGUUUUGUAGCAUCCACAAUGUAGUCCUAGGAGUUUGAGAGUUUCGUUUGGGGGGAGACUUUGUGAGACACAAGUAUUGCGGGAUCACUUGUGUGAGCCUUUUUUAUUCUGAGUGAAUUGUGUGAGGUUGUCUCUCUUGAUAGUUUGUACUCACUUUUAUAUAUUUGGAUUGCUCAUCUCCUUUUGUGGAUGUAGGUCGAUUGACCGAACUACGUUAAAUUAUUGUGUCUCUUUUGGUGAAUUUCUCGUUUAUCUUCUUAUGUGGCGUCUUUCGAGGUUUGUUUUGCUAUCUUCCACAUGAAAUCUAAUUUUUUCGGUCCUAACAAGUGGUAUCAGAGUCGAUGGUUCAAUGGUUCAAACCUACGUUUCAAAGAUCCAGUGGUUUGGUGAAACGAGGUUGAAGACAAGGUCAAAGGGGUUCUAAUCAAUUUGAUGAUAAUGAAGAUUUUUUGUCCAACUACAUAUGGAGAAGAAGUUUUAAG
rnacentral:lncRNA from 1 species